GGAGUAACAAGGUUUCCGUAGGUGAACCUGCGGAAGGAUCAUUAUUGUAUAACCGAGGUGCGAGGGCUGUCGCUGACCCGAAAGGUCGUGCACGCCCGAGUGCCCUCACACACAUCCAUCUCACCCCUAUGUGCACCACCGCGUGGGUCCCCCUUUGGCUUGUUCGGAGGGGGGCUUACGUUUUCACACAAACUUUGUAUGCAGUGUAGAAUGUAUUUUUUGUUUUUGCGAUCACGCAAUCAAUACAACUUUCAACAACGGAUCUCUUGGCUCUC
rnacentral:misc_RNA from 1 species